AGUCGAACGGUAACAGCAGAGCUUGCUCUGGCUGACGAGUGGCGGACGGGUGAGUAACGCGUAGGAAUCUACCUGGUAGUGGGGGAUAGCUCGGGGAAACUCGAAUUAAUACCGCAUACGCCCUAUGGGGGAAAGGCUUCGGCCGCUAUUGGACGAGCCCGCGUCAGAUUAGCUAGUUGGUAGGGUAAAGGCCUACCAAGGCAACGAUCUGUAGCUGGUCUGAGAGGACGAACAGCCACACUGGGACUGAGACACGGCCCAGACUCCUACGGGAGGCAGCAGUGGGGAAUAUUGGACAAUGGGCGAAAGCCUGAUCCAGCAAUGCCGCGUGUGUGAAGAAGGCCUGCGGGUUGUAAAGCACUUUCAGUUGGGAAGAUGAUGACGUUACCAACAGAAGAAGCACCGGCUAAAUCCGUGCCAGCAGCCGCGGUAAUACGGACGGUGCGAGCGUUAAUCGGAAUUACUGGGCGUAAAGCGCGCGUAGGCGGCUAAGUCAGUCAGAAGUGAAAGCCCCGGGCUCAACCUGGGAAUUGCUUUUGAUACUGCUUGGCUAGAGUUUGGUAGAGGAUAGUGAAUUCCAGGUGUAGCGGUGAAAUGCGUUGAUAUCUGGAGGAACAUCAGUGGCGAAGGCGACUGUCUGGACCAAAACUGACGCUGAAGUGCGAAAGCGUGGGUAGCAAACAGGAUUAGAUACCCUGGUAGAAGGGC
rnacentral:rRNA from 1 species